GUAGGUGGCAAGCGUCGUCCGGAAUUAUUGGGCGUAAAUCGCGCGCAGGCGGUUUUUUAAGUCUGAUGUGAAAGCCCACGGCUCAACCGUGGAGGGUCAUUGGAAACUGGAGAACUUGAGUACAGAAGAGGAAAGCGGAAUUCCACGUGUAGCGGUGAAAUGCGUAGAGAUGUGGAGGAACACCAGUGGCGAAGGCGGCUUUCUGGUCUGUAACUGACGCUGAGGCGCGAAAGCGUGGGGAGCAAACAGGGAUUAGAUACCCUGGUAGUCCACGCCGUAAACGAUGAGUGCUAAGUGUUAGGGGGUUUCCCGCCCCUUAGUGCUGCAGCUAACGCAUUAAGCACUCCGCCUGGGGAGUACGGCCGCAAGGCUG
rnacentral:rRNA from 1 species